AUUUCUAACGUAUACACCGUGGAGCACGGGCCAGCGGCUGUGAGACACAGGCAGGGGGAGGGCGGACCUGGGGACAGGGUCACGGAGAGCGGUGGCUCGGCAGGGCCCUCGGAGCACGAGCAGACAGGACAAAGUCCAGACUGGCCAUGGUGUGUCCCUCGCAGCCAGCACCCCCGCAGGGACACGGGGUUGCGGAAUCAAAAAGGAAAAUCGGUGGGAUCCCAAAACCUGAGCCUCACAUGAAAACCUCAUGGUUAGCUUCCCUCACCCCUGCAGCCCCCAGGGGUACAAAUACGGAGGACCGAGGGGCGUCGUUGGGACAAGGUCACGUGGGGCUCCUCAGGCAUUGGAAAGGAAAGUGUGGGACCCCGGUCACCUCAUGCUCCUGGGAGAAGAAUGGCGUCCUGUGUGACACCC
rnacentral:lncRNA from 1 species